UUGCUAAACGUUUGGCAUUUUUCUUGGGUAAUAGUUGUAGACAUCUUUUCAUCGACACUGCAGUUCGAACUGAUCUCAAAAAACGACGGACACGUCAUAUCCAGAGGAGCACCGAACAUUCAAUGCAAUAAAUGGCCUCAAAUUUGUAAUUUAGCAGCAGGAGAAACCUAUACCUUGACAUAUAGCAACGACCGUAUUAGAGCUAGUCCUCCUGGCUUAAAGGGAACCGUCUAUUUCAGAGGUGAACUCUACAAUCAAGAUCAAGUUAUGUGGACCUGUCUGGAGGGAGAAGUAGUUUUGUAAACAAACAACCUUAUUUACAAUUCAUUGUAAAUACAAUGAAUUAAAAAGCACUAUUCUUGUUUCAAAAACUCGUUAAGCAUCUUUGUUUUAAGAUUUUUCUUAAAGUUUACUGAACAAUUAAGAAGCGUAGUAAUGAAUUCUCUCAAUUAAGAAGCGUAGUAUUGUUUCGUUGCAGCAUUUUCAUGUUUUCAAAAUUAUACGUUACCCGUAGUAGAGAUCCACAGUUUUCUGAAGUUUUCGUCUCAGCUGCCUUAGAAAAAACGGUAGGGCUGACAAAUCGCGAGGCGGAGGAGAGGGGGACAUGUUACUGUUGCAGUGGCUAUGUAACACAUGUUUUUGCUUAUAUGCUUGCUUAUUCUAUACGUAGAAGGUCCAGAUUUUUAACAAUUCAGAAUAAAAUGUGUUUAGACCUGUUACGUUACAGGCAAUCAUAA